rnacentral:rRNA from 1 species
GAUGAACGCUGGCGGCGUGCCUAAUACAUGCAAGUCGAGCGAACAGACGAGGAACUUACUCCUCUGACGUUAGCGGCGGACGGGUGAGUAACACGUGGAUAACCUACCUAUAAGACUGGGAUAACUUCGGGAAACCGGAGCUAAUACCGGAUAACAUGUUGAACCGCAUGGUUCAACAGUGAAAGACGGUCUUGCUGUCACUUAUAGAUGGAUCCGCGUCGCAUUAGCUAGUUGGUAAGGUAACGGCUUACCAAGGCAACGAUGCGUAGCCGACCUGAGAGGGUGAUCGGCCACACUGGAACUGAGACACGGUCCAGACUCCUACGGGAGGCAGCAGUAGGGAAUCUUCCGCAAAGGGCGAAAGCCUGACGGAGCAACGCCGCGUGAGUGAAGAAGGUCUUCGGAUCGUAAAACUCUGUUAUUAGGGAAGAACAAAUGUGUAAGUAACUAUGCACGUCUUGACGGUACCUAAUCAGAAAGCCACGGCUAACUACGUG